rnacentral:rRNA from 1 species
UACGUAGGGUGCAAGCGUUGUCCGGAAUUAUUGGGCGUAAAGAGCUCGUAGGCGGUUUGUCGCGUCUGCUGUGAAAACCCGAGGCUCAACCUCGGGCCUGCAGUGGGUACGGGCAGACUAGAGUGCGGUAGGGGAGAUUGGAAUUCCUGGUGUAGCGGUGGAAUGCGCAGAUAUCAGGAGGAACACCGAUGGCGAAGGCGGUUCUCUGGGAAUAUCCUGACGCUGAGGAGCGAAAGUGUGGGGAGCGAACAGG